CGAAGAAUCGUCAGCCGCGUACGUGGCUGUGGUGCAUGUGUCUAACGACGACGACCGCGAGAGACGAAAGGGGGUCGAACGCGACCGUACGUAGGGCGACUCUCCUCGCGGAAUGAGCGAUGAUUGUAACAUUUCGCACGGGCCGUGCCGUCGCUGCGAAACGACAUAUACGUCAUCGACAACGAGGGGAAUAGAGGCACAUCGUGGUGCGCGUCGGUCACGCUGUCCCGCGAUUGGCAAGACGGACGACAGGGCGGAUAGACAAAUGGAGAACGCCACUGUUAGCCGUCGUUCGCGUGGGUGAUGAUUUUGGCAGGAGCCCGGAGAGAGAGAGAAUUUUUUCGCGGCUAGAAAGACCGACGAAAAAGAGCGAGCAUCUGGUGCUACCAAAAAGUCCCGAGCGUUCCAGACUCUCUUUUGCCUGUAUGUAUCAUCUCUAUACGGUUUCUGUACUUUUUCGUUCUUCCGGCUUGUCAUCCUAUAUUGUUCGCACAAACGGUAUGCUUGUUCUUUUUCUGCGACUGGGAUAAGAUGUUUAGUCUGACGCAGCGGUGGGAUUCGUGGGACAUUAUGAAAUUAAAAGAAGAAAGAACAGAGGAAAGAAACUAUAAUAAGAAUUUGUGCAUUGUCACUUAAUCGAAAUUACUUUUAUCAACGUAAUAAAGAUAAUAACGAACUCUUUACUUU
rnacentral:lncRNA from 13 species